UUUGAGUACUAUGACGACAGCCAUAUUCAAUAUGGCAACGAUACUUUGUAAUGUUCUAUGUAGUAAAGUUAGCUCGAUGUCUCCGAAGGCGCGAACUCUAUGUCGCCAUUUGAAAUUUAAAUUGGCGCAAUUGCUAAAUAAUGAGUUAAUUGUUGUAGAAGGUUUCUUGUUCAAGAACAAACUCAAACUCGGUCAUUUCGCUUCCAUAACGGCUGGCAUUUAGAAGUUUUGCGAGUUUUAAGAAUUUGUAUUGCAGAGUUUGAGUAAAGUUCAGUUUGUCGAGAUUUAUUUCUUUUGUCGGUGUAGCCGACUUUCGCAAAUUUCUAUUUUAAAAGUGUAGUGUACUAAAAAAAGCGCGUGGCGCUUUUUUUGGUACGGGCUGGAAUUUUCGAGGUCGACCCGGAGUCGGCGAAAAGGGUUUACGGCAUUUCCGCCGUUUGAUCGUUGAAGGAGUUUUGUGGAGUCCGUGCGCUCAUCAAGGCCCGCCCUUCGGGGUAGCGAAACGAAGUG